UGACCUAUCCAGCCUUGGCCACCUAACAUCCAUCCUCCAGAUGGCCAUUAGCAUGCCAUAUCUACAACCAGAUGUUAAGAAUGCCUUUACUGUAUUUAAGAAUCAUUCAAUGGCUCCCUAUCAUCUUUACCAUUGAGUACAAUCUUCUUAGAAUGACAAGUGUCCAAGCCCUGCCUCCCUCACAAGCUUCAUCUUCCUCAUUAUCUUCAGAGUAUAUAUAGUUAUCCCAAACUGAGUAUAAUUUCCAACAGUACUGGGACUUUGUUCCUGCUGUUUCCUCUGCACAGAAUGCUCUCCCCUUCCUCGCCUGGCCAACCCAUGCUCCUCGUUCCUAAGAUUCGCUUAAUAUCCAAUCCUCCUGGAGCCUUUCCUGACCCUUCUUCCCUCAACCCUCACUCUCACCCUACAACCCUCCCCACCGGCCCUUGUCUGGGCUAAGGGCUCCUCCUCUAUAUCUAUACAUGGAAUUCUAUCAUAGUUCAUAGGAUGUGUUGAAAUUAUCCAUUUAUGAGUCUGUCCCCUCUCUCCCACUAUAAGCUCCCAAGACAUGUAUCCCUUAUAAAUAGCCAAGUACUCAUUACUUAUGUAGGUACUUGGUACAUAUAGACUGGUGGAAACAAAUGGAAAUGCUUCCAAAAUUAUUUUAUGUGCAAUACCAUCAAACAGCAAAAUAGCCCCUUUGGCCCCCUAAAUUAGAAUCCCCUCGUUCUUGGCACUUGGAUUAUUAUAAAACUAUUUUCAUAUAUCUUAUAAAUAUAAAAGAUAUCCUGGGGGGCCGUGACCGCCUGCCUGUUGACGUAGGCGGCAGCUGUUUCAGCUUCGAGGCGCACCCGGGGCCCGCUGGCCCGCGGGAGAAAUGUUGCUGAAGUGCUGCUGAAAGGGCCAGAGAUGCAAGGAUUUGGGACACAUUUUGAAACUUUAAGCUGUCUGACAUUGACCUCCUUUCAUUAUUAAUAAAGAAGAAGCAGGAGCUUAGGAUGUAUUAACACCAACUCAUUAAUAUACUAACCGGACAAUGUUCUGCAAACAAUUCUGCAUUUUAAAGAACUGGAUUGGCACAAAAUAAAAUAAUUUCAUAUUUUACUCAGCUUGUAGUAUGACUCGAUGGAGGAAAAUUUGAUAAACAUGAGGGAAGACCAUUCUUUUCAUGUUCGUUACAGAAUGGAAGCUUCUUGCCUAGAGCUGGCCUUGGAAGGGGAACGUCUGUGUAAAUCAGGAGACUGCCGCGCAGGGGUGUCAUUCUUUGAAGCUGCAGUUCAAGUUGGAACUGAAGACCUAAAAACACUUAGUGCUAUUUACAGCCAGUUGGGAAAUGCUUAUUUCUACUUGCAUGAUUAUGCCAAAGCAUUAGAAUACCACCAUCAUGAUUUAACUCUUGCAAGGACUAUUGGAGACCAGUUGGGGGAAGCCAAAGCUAGUGAUAAUCUGGGAAACACCUUAAAAGUUCUUGGGAAUUUUGAUGAAGCUAUUGUCUGUUGUCAAUGACACCUAGCUAUUUCCAGAGAGCUUAAUGACAAGGUGGGAGAAGCAAGAGCACUUUACAAUCUUGGAAAUGUAUAUCAUGCCAAAGGGAAAAGUUUUGGCUGCCCUGGUCCCCAAGAUGGAGGAGAAUUUCCAGAAGAAAAGAGAAAUGCUCUACAGGUAGCUGUGGAUUUUUAUGAGGAAAACCUAUCAUUAGUGACUGCUUUAGGUGACCGAGCAGCCCAAGGACGUGCCUUUGGAAAUCUUGGAAACACACAUUACCUCCUUGGAAACUUCAGGGAUGCAGUGAUAGCACAUGAGCAGCGUCUCCUUAUUGCAAAAGAAUUUGGAGAUAAAGCAGCUGAAAGAAGAGCAUAUAGCAACCUUGGAAAUGCAUAUAUAUUUCUUGGUGAAUUUGAAACUGCCUCUGAAUACUACAAGAAGACACUACUAUUGGCUCAACAGCUUAAAGACAGAGCUGUAGAAGCACAGUCUUGUUACAGUCUUGGAAACACAUACACUUUACUUCAAGACUAUGAAAAGGCCAUCGAUUAUCAUUUGAAACACUUAGCAAUUGCUCAAGAGCUAAAUGAUAGAAUUGGUGAAGGAAGAGCAUGUUGGAGCUUAGGAAAUGCAUACACAGCUCUAGGAAAUCAUGACCAAGCAAUGCAUUUUGCUGAAAAGCACCUGGAAAUUUCAAGAGAGGUUGGAGAUAGAAGUGGUGAACUAACAGCACGACUAAAUCUCUCAGAUCUUCAAAUGGUUCUUAGUCUGAGCUACAGCACAAAUAAUUCCAUAAUGUCUGAAAAUAUUGAAAUUGAUAACAGUUUGCAUGGUGCAUGCCCCAAGUUGGGACACCGACACAGUAUGGAAAAUAUGGAACUUAUGAAGUUAACACCAGAAAAGGAACAACUCCUAAGUAGCAAGCUUAAUUUGCUAUUUUCUGCCUACCUCUAUAGUGGUACUAACAGUAAGUUCUAUAAGAAGCUCACUAGAUUCAACCUUGUAAUUCUCUAAGAACCAACUGAUGAUAAAAAUUUAUCUAAUUUAAAAAAAAAAAAAAAGAUAUCCUAGCUAUGUUGUGCCCAGGAUUCUUUGGAAAGAAUGUAAAAUGCUAUCAGGAAUUUUAAAACAGAUCAUGUUAUGUGAUAUGUUGAUUUGUUGAAGAUUUCCCUGAAAA